GAUGAACGCUGGCGGCGUGCCUAAUACAUGCAAGUCGAGCGAACGGACGAGAAGCUUGCUUCUCUGAUGUUAGCGGCGGACGGGUGAGUAACACGUGGAUAACCUACAUAUAAGACUGGGAUAACUUCGGGAAACCGGAGCUAAUACCGGAUAAUAUUUUGAACCGCAUGGUUCAAAAGUGAAAGACGGUCUUGCUGUCACUUAUAGAUGGAUCCGCGCUGCAUUAGCUAGUUGGUAAGGUAACGGCUUACCAAGGCAACGAUGCAUAGCCGACCUGAGAGGGUGAUCGGCCACACUGGAACUGAGACACGGUCCAGACUCCUACGGGAGGCAGCAGUAGGGAAUCUUCCGCAAUGGGCGAAAGCCUGACGCAGCAACGCCGCGUGAGUGAUGAAGGUCUUCGGAUCGUAAAACUCUGUUAUUAGGGAAGAACAUAUGUGUAAGUAACUGUGCACAUCUUGACGUUACCUAAUCAGAAAGCCACGGCUAACUACGUG
rnacentral:rRNA from 1 species